UCCCUGGUAGUAUAUCGGUUAGUACACGCGCCUGUCAUAAGAGAAUAUGAGUCUUUUCGCGCGAAAGCUGGGUUCGACUCCCAGCCAGGGAG